AGAGAACUUCAAGCUCUGCAGUUCCUUCCCUGGCAUCUCUCAGCCUCUACAGAGACUUAAUGGCAUACUGAGCCUUCAGGGCAGAUGUCUACUUUAGGCAUUACUUGCCAUGAGCAUAAGCGAGUGUCAUGCUUGAUAGACUGAAGGUGACGCAUGGAAAAGACUCCACAACCAUAGGGUUGUAAAGUAGGUAUACUUUAUUGCAGUGCACCGGGCACACUGGGAAUAGCUUCCCUCAAAAAGUGUGCA